rnacentral:rRNA from 1 species
AGUAACGCGUGAGGAACCUGCCUCAAAGAGGGGGACAACAGUUGGAAACGACUGCUAAUACCGCAUAAGCCCACGGCUCGGCAUCGAGCAGAGGGAAAAGGAGCAAUCCGCUUUGAGAUGGCCUCGCGUCCGAUUAGCUAGUUGGCGAGGUAACGGCCCACCAAGGCGACGAUCGGUAGCCGGACUGAGAGGUUGAACGGCCACAUUGGGACUGAGACACGGCCCAG